UACGGAGGGGGCUAGCGUUGUUCGGAAUUACUGGGCGUAAAGCGCACGUAGGCGGUGGCGCAUGCCAGAUGUGAAAGCCCUGGGCUUAACCUAGGAAUUGCAUUUGAAACUGCGCCGCUAGAGGCCGGAAGAGGGUAGUGGAAUUCCCAGUGUAGAGGUGAAAUUCGUAGAUAUUGGGAAGAACACCGGUGGCGAAGGCGGCUACCUGGUCCGGUUCUGACGCUGAGGUGCGAAAGCCAGGGGAGCAAACGGG
rnacentral:rRNA from 1 species